GAUGAACGCUGGCGGCGUGCCUAAUACAUGCGAGUCGAGCGAACGGACGAGAAGCUUGCUUUUCUGAUGUUAGCGGCGGACGGGUGAGUAACACGUGGAUAACCUACCUAUAAGACUGGGAUAACUUCGGGAAACCGGAGCUACUACCGGAUAAUAUUUUGAAUCGCAUGGUUCAAAAGUGAAAGACGGUCUUGCUGUCACUUAUAGAUGGAUCCGCGCUGCAUUAGCUAGUUGGUAAGGUAACGGCUUACCAAGGCAACGAUGCAUAGCCGACCUGAGAGGGUGAUCGGCCACACUGGAACUGAGACGCGGUCCAGACUCCUACGGGAGGCAGCAGUAGGGAAUCUUCCGCAAUGGGCGAAAGCCUGACGGAGCAACGCCGCGUGAGUGAUGAAGGUCUUCGGAUCGUAAAACUCUGUUAUUAGGGAAGAACAUAUGUGUAAGUAACUGUGCACAUCUUGACGGUACCUAAGCAGAAAGCGACGGCUAACUACGUG
rnacentral:rRNA from 1 species